CGGGACGGGUGAGUAACGCGUGGGUAACCUGCCUCAUACAGGGGGAUAACGGUUAGAAAUGACUGCUAAUACCGCAUAAGCGCACAGUACCGCAUGGUACAGUGUGAAAAACUCCGGUGGUAUGAGAUGGACCCGCGUCUGAUUAGCUAGUUGGUGGGGUAACGGCCCACCAAGGCGACGAUCAGUAGCCGACCUGAGAGGGUGACCGGCCACAUUGGGACUGAGACACGGCCCAG
rnacentral:rRNA from 1 species